AAAGCCUAACAAAAAACAAGGCUAAGUUAGCCAAAACAGCUAGCAUGUUGCUGAAUUAUGAGCUAAACUCCAAGAUAUCCUAAACAAAAUCUUGUUAAAUGCUAGUAUAGUCCAAAAACCUAGUAGAAUGCCAUUUUUUUUAUUUUAAAACUGUAACUUUUUAACAUAAUUAUGAAUAAUAACACAGUAGGAAUUUUAUGCCAGAAUAAAUGAACUUAAACCUUAAAUAACUUUCAAUAUUAAUACAAAUAAAAUAAAAUGAUCUGGAGGGCCGGAUAGAAUUACCCAGAGGGCCGGAUCCGGCCCCUGGGCCUUGACUUUGACACAUGUGAUGUAAACAGAGCAACAAUGAAACUGCAACUCACUGAAUUUUACAUUUAACAUAAUACAAAUAGUUUCUCAAACCGACAAUCUAUGUGUCAUAAACACUUCAGUGUACAUUCUGAGCCGUCGUCUCCUUAGUAACCAUCUUGGAGCACGCCACCACCGUACCAAAAAGUAGAAAGUGUUGUACCUGACAUUGAUACAGACUAUGAUAAUUGGUCUGUGAAAUAUAAAUUUUGAAAAAGUGAAUUAUCCCAGCAAAGACUACAUUACUAUUUAUCUCGUUGCUUAGCCCCGCCCUUGCAAUUCCUGGCCAAUGGCUGAAGAGAUCUUUAGCCACAUGUUUUUUUUGUUUUGUUUUGUUUUUUUGCUAGAUUUGGUUCAAAACAUAAAAGUUAAUUUGGACAGUCUGAACUCAAGGUUCUGUCUGAAUACACCUUUAAAGAAAAAUAUAAGAAUUAUUUUGGAUUCUGUCCAACUUCACUGUAAAAAGUGAAGUUCUGUAAUUUGUUACAUUUAAAUAUAUCAUUUUGAAUGUAAUAAAUGACUAAACUUUUGUUAAUUGAUCCAACGUUUCACUUUUUACAGUGUAUAAUUUUCUUCUUUUAAUUUAAAAGGAUUAUUUUCCUUCUUUGUCUGUAACAAAAAUCAUCAGAUAAACCUGAAUGCCAAACUCUUACGUUUCUUUCUGCGUUAAAUCAUUAAGUCACUCUUUGUACCUUCCGCUCACAAUGAGGGUGAAAAUGUAGAAUUGGCUCCUAGAACCUGCAGGUUCAAGUCCCGACCUGUGGACCUGCAGGAGGAGACACCCCCUCUUUUCACAGCAAGUAAAACAAACACCCUCAUUUCUGUUCCUCUUUUAAUAAUUUCACAUGUUUACAAUUAUUCUGUUCAUACUUGUUCAGUUUGAUGAUGUAAGGCUUGAAAUUUUGACUUUUGGAGCUUAAACCCAGAAUCCUCUGCUGGUAUUGCGUCAUGACUUGAUGAUUUGAACCUCAUAACUACUCACUUUACUGCAGGUCAGACGUUUUUCUCUGCAUCCACUAAGAGGGAGUGGUGCGCCACUGAAACUAAAUCUAUUAGAGUUUCUGAGACGCACGCGCCUCCUCCCUCCUCCUCCUCCUCCUCCUCCUCAUUUCCGUGAUCUGCAGAAGUUGAAGAAGGGGAGCGCACUAGAUUGUUUCACAGAGGAAGGAUAAACGCUCAGACUCCAUCUCCCCGCGCGCGCAGGAGGAUCCACAGGUGACGGGGUCGGGGGUCCGCAUCAGUCAUGAGGCUGCGGAGGGAAGGGCCGCCAUGUGAGGAGGGUGAUGGUCACUGAUCCACCUCCUCCUCCACCCGCUGGAAUAAGAUGCCACCGUGCCCGCGCGCCUGGCACGCCACUCACAGACUAACCCGGGAUAGACCGAGAACUGAGACGCGACGCAGCGACGAGCUCACGUCCACACCGGGACCGGCGGAGACGUAGUGACCGGAUUCGGAAAAGGGGGCGCCGGCCGGGGAGGCGCCACGAGGAGAGGUCCCCAGUGAUGCUGCUCCCGCGGCCCCCGCUCCUCUCCGCGCUCCUUCUCUCCCUCCUCCUGCUCCUGGUGCUCCUGGCGGCGGGACGAUGCGCCGCGGCGCCGCGCCACCGCGCCGACUCCGGCGCGCGGCUCAGAGGAUCCGGCGCGCGCGCGGAGCGCUCCGGUGACGCACGCGACGCGGUGGAGCAAGCCGGCCGCAAGCAGAGGAACCCAGUGAGACUGACGGGACGCGGGUCCAGGAGGAACAAGCCGGCCCACGGAACGGGAAGUCACUCCAGAGAUUCACAACAGAAGGAAAAGUUCAUCAUUCAUCUAACAGGUCCUCUAUACUUCGACCCAAAGUGCCGGAAACAAUUUUAUAGACUUUACAACAACACCAGGGAAUGCACAGUACCAGCUUAUUAUAAAAGAUGUGCUCAACUGCUGAUUCAACUGGCGAAGAACCCUCGCUGCGCAGAGAAGAGAUCCUGAGACGAACAUCUCAGGUUGCACAGCAGAGCUGCUGGCGAGCAGCUGUUUCAGUGCAGACCACAAGACCGCAGAGGAAGAACAUCAACAUCUCCAACACAAAGCCACCUUUGUCCAAAUUUGAAGCAACACCUGAGGGAACAUGUACUGGAGCUCCACCACACAAUGACCCCAACAGCGACUGAAGAGGUUACAAGACUUUGGACUAAAGAAGCUGCUUUGACAACAUGUUGGAAAUGUACGCAUUGAUGUCCAGCAACUCUAACAAAUUUGGGAGGAGUCUUCACUUUUUGUCUGACUGAUGCAGGAACUGUUCACUUUUUGGGUAAAUCAGUUCACUGGAUUGUAUUUUUGACUCACCUGCACUCUUGAAGAAUCCUCCACUUCCUGAUCUCGUCUUGACCGCUCAGUUGAUCUUCUGCUGGACGCUAGGAAAAUCCAGAGUGGUGGAAAGCUGUUCUUAACCGUUUCUGCAGCAACUUUCUGUUUUGGGAUUUUGUGGACUGCAGCUCCACAACAAUACUUCAAAUGUUGUUUUCAAUGUUUUUUUCCGGAUUUCCUUCACAGAAGAAAUCAGCCUUAACCAAUUGUGUCAACGACUGUUAAAUGGGACAUGAUACACCACAGUGGCCUAUAAAGACUUUCCAGUAUAUUUAUAUUGUUGAAGCUGCCGUACCGUGUGCAAUAUGUACAUACUGAGAGAAAAUAAAGAUACUGACUUGU